GGGUGGCCGAGUGGUUAAGGCGUUGGACUGCUAAUCCAAUGUGCUAUGUGCUCUGCACGCGUGGGUUCGAAUCCCAUCCGCGUCG